AGGAGAGUUUGAUCCUGGCUCAGAACGAACGCUGGCAGCGUGGAUUAGGCAUGCAAGUCGAACGGGAUCGGGAAGGUAGCAAUAUCGGCCCGUGAGAGUGGCGGAAGGGCGAGGAACACGUGAGCAACCUGUCCAGCAGGUGGGGAAAACCUCGGGAAACCGGGGCUAAUACCGAAUGCGGCGCGGAAGGGCAUCCUUCCAGCGCCAAAGGGGGCCGCAAGGCUCCCCCUGCACGAGGGGCUCGCGCACCAUCAGCUUGUUGGCGGGGUAACGGCCCACCAGGGCUUACGAUUAGCUGGUCUGAGAGGAUGGCCAGCCGCACUGGGACUGAGAUACUGCCCAGACUCCUACGGGAGGCUGCAGUCGAGGAUCAUUCGCAAUGGGGGAAACCCUGACGAUGCGACGCUGCGUGGAGGAUGACGGCCUUCGGGUUGUAAACUCCUGUCAUGGGGGAAGAGGCGGAGGGACCCAACACGUCCCCGAGUUGACGGUACCCCAAGAGGAAGCGACGGCUAACUCUGUGCCAGCAGCCGCGGUAAUACAGAGGUCGCGAGCGUUGUUCGGAUUUACUGGGCGUAAAGGGCGCGUAGGCGGCGAGGCGUGUCGGAUGUGAAAUCUCCGGGCUCAACCCGGAAAGUGCGUCCGAAACUGCCGCGCUCGAGUGCGGGAGGGGGAAGGGGAAUGCAGGGUGUAGCGGUGAAAUGCGUUGAUAUCCUGCAGAACACCGGAGGCGAAGGCGCCUUCCUGGAACGCAACUGACGCUGAGGCGCGAAAGCCGGGGGAGCAAACAGGAUUAGAUACCCUGGUAGUCCCCU
rnacentral:rRNA from 1 species